rnacentral:rRNA from 1 species
UACGUAGGGUGCAAGCGUUAAUCGGAAUUACUGGGCGUAAAGCGUGCGCAGGCGGUUAUGUAAGACAGAUGUGAAAUGCCCGGGCUUAACCUGGGAACUGCAUUUGUGACUGCAUGGCUAGAGUUUGGCAGAGGGGGGUAGAAUUCCACGUGUAGCAGUGAAAUGCGUAGAUAUGUGGAGGAACACCGAUGGCGAAGGCAGCCCCCUGGGUCAAGACUGACGCUCAUGCACGAAAGCGUGGGAGCAAACAGG